AUGGCUCGACUUCCCUUUAAGUGUGAGGCGUGGAAGGAGAAAUGCAAUAUUUUGAAUCUGACCAGUUCCAUUAUGCUUGUAUACUAUUAUGUGUGGUUCAUGUUUGCAUUAGCUUACAGGAGAAAAUGUUGGCAAAUAGAAAGGAGAAUUAAAAUUAGAGAGUUCACGGGAGAGUACUUGUUUUGGCUAAUUGGUGAGAGCGACGCUAUGUGUAUAAGUCAACUUCGUAUGGAUAGGAGAACAUUCCAUAUAUUAUGUGAGAUGGUGAGAGAUAUUGGUGGUCUAAAGGGUACAAGGAAUACGUCAUUAGAGGAGAUAGUGGCGUCAUUCUUGUAUGUAUUAUCACACCAUCUCAAAAGUAGGACAGUAGGAAACUAG
rnacentral:rRNA from 1 species